rnacentral:lncRNA from 13 species
UACUGAUUCAUCUUAUAAAUUUAUAGGAACUUUUACGGCCUCAUUUUUUUUUUUUUUCUGCAUUCAGGUCACCAUUGUAGUUCUGUCCUCGUAUCAUCUGGGUAUCUGUUACUGCCACUGCCACCUGGAACCUGGGACAAGAAAGACUAAAAACAAGGAAGAAAAGGAAAAUACUCAGUUUGAUAUGCCUAACAUUGUUCAGAAAGCCACAGUGAGAAUGCUAAAGAGACUGGAUGAAAAGAAGAGAAAUUCUGAACUCUGUGAAGAAAACGUGAAUACCAAAGAAAACCAGGCCAUGUGUUUUAUAUUAAAAUAAAAUUCCAUAUAGAGUAAGAAUUGAAAAACUGAGGUAGGAUUCAGAAUUUAACAAGAUUAUGUUAUUUUUUAAAAUGUUAACAUUACAUAAAUGUGAUGUAUUUACUAAAUUGUACUAAUUUGAGCAUUCUUGUGAAUUUCUAUUUUGUUAUGUUUCCUGGUCUUUAAAAGAAAAUAGAAUUUCUUUUAAAUUCAAAUAUCAAUUUGUCACUGCUUCUUUAUUCACAUUUCCUCAAAUGUUUUGGACAGAUGUCUGAAAUUCUCACAAGAUGCCCCAUGAAUUUAGAUUUGGCUCCCUGAAUCCCCA